rnacentral:rRNA from 1 species
UACGAAGGGGGCUAGCGUUGUUCGGAAUUACUGGGCGUAAAGGGCGCGUAGGCGGCGUGUCAAGUCAGGCGUGAAAGCCCCGGGCUCAACCUGGGAACCGCGCUUGAGACUGGCAUGCUCGAGUUCGGGAGAGGAUGGUGGAAUUCCCAGUGUAGAGGUGAAAUGCGUAGAUAUCUGGAGGAACACCGGUGGCGAAGGCGACAUCCUGGACCGGUAUUGACGCUGAGGCGCGAAAGCCAGGGGAGCAAACGGG